UGGGAUAACUGCUAGAAAUGGUAGCUAAUACCGGAUAUGACGAUUGGCCGCAUGGUCUGGUCGUGGAAAGAAUUUCGGUUGGGGAUGGACUCGCGGCCUAUCAGGUUGUUGGUGAGGUAAUGGCUCACCAAGCCUACGACGGGUAGCCGGCCUGAGAGGGUGACCGGCCACACUGGGACUGAGACACGGCCCAGACUCCUACGGGAGGCAGCAGUGGGGAAUAUUGCACAAUGGGCGAAAGCCUGAUGCAGCAACGCCGCGUGAGGGAUGACGGCCUUCGGGUUGUAAACCUCUUUUAGUAGGGAAGAAGCGAAAGUGACGGUACCUGCAGAAAAAGCACCGGCUAACUACGUGCCAGCAGCCGCGGUAAUACGUAGGGUGCAAGCGUUGUCCGGAAUUAUUGGGCGUAAAGAGCUCGUAGGCGGUUUGUCGCGUCUGCUGUGAAAUCCCGAGGCUCAACCUCGGGUCUGCAGUGGGUACGGGCAGACUAGAGUGCGGUA
rnacentral:rRNA from 1 species